UCUGCCGGCAGGUGACAGCUGGCUGCAAAGGGACUGAGGGGGACACUCUGCACACCACUUACUGUAUGUGGAUUUUCAUGCAGAGCAGGGAGCUCCGGGGUGCAGUUUGGGCUGUGCAGAGGGUGGCAGCAGCCCCAGCGGGCCUGUGGGCUGCAGUGGCACAUCUGCCCUUGGCUUGGUGACAGUCCCUUCAGCCUGUUGUGCAGCCUGUCCCUGGCAGGCUGCCAGGACCACCCCUAGACCCCCGAGUCAGGAUCCCACAUGUGCAUGGACUGCCCUGGUGCCUGAAGCCACAUCUCCCUGGCACGGCCUUAUGGCUUCUCUGAGUUCCCGAGAUCAAGGCUGGUGCCACACUGCACAAAGCAAGAGAUGGGCAAAAAAGGAGGAGAGGAGCAGCUGUGUGUGGGGUUCCUUCAGCUCUGCCCCAGAAAGCAGCACCCCACCCCACUCCUGGAGAGGGCAGAUGGUGUCAUAUGAAGGGAGACACAGAAAGGAUCGGUUCACCAUGGCCAGGGCUGCACCUUGGCUACAGCACCCUGCUAAGAACCAGCAGGACUUUGGUAGUGACAUCUUGAAGGACUGGGACUGCUCCUUUCCAGAUGCCCUGAUCCCAAAGCACACCCAUCCCACUCCCAAGGAGACACUGCUCGGAAAAAUGACCCUCCCUUACUGACCACCACACUGAGAAGCUGCAGGAGUUGUGGGAUGAUAUCAGCCCUUCCAGAGGAGAUCCCAAAACCCCACCGAACUCUGGGGCAAAGCUGCCACA